UGGGGAAUAUUGGACAAUGGGCGCAAGCCUGAUCCAGCCAUGCCGCGUGAGUGAUGAAGGCCUUAGGGUUGUAAAGCUCUUUUGUCAGGGAAGAUAAUGACGGUACCUGAAGAAUAAGCACCGGCUAACUUCGUGCCAGCAGCCGCGGUAAUACGAAGGGUGCUAGCGUUGUUCGGAAUCACUGGGCGUAAAGCGCGCGUAGGCGGCUUAGCAAGUCAGAGGUGAAAGCCUGGAGCUCAACUCCAGAAUUGCCUUUGAAACUGCAAAGCUAGAGUGUCGGAGGGGAUAGCGGAAUUGCUAAUGUAGAGGUGAAAUUCGUAGAUAUUAGCAGGAACACCGGUGGCGAAGGCGGCUAUCUGGACGACAACUGACGCUGAGGCGCGAAAGCGUGGGGAUCAAACAGG
rnacentral:rRNA from 1 species